AGCGGCGGACGGGUGAGUAACGCGUGGGUAACCUGCCCUAUACACAUGGAUAACAUACUGAAAAGUUUACUAAUACAUGAUAAUAUAUAUUUGCGGCAUCGCAGAUAUAUCAAAGUGUAGCGGUAUAGGAUGGACCCGCGUCUGAUUAGCUAGUUGGUGAGAUAACUGCCCACCAAGGCGACGAUCAGUAGCCGACCUGAGAGGGUGAUCGGCCACAUUGGAACUGAGACACGGUCCAAACUCCUACGGGAGGCGGCAGUGGGGAAUAUUGCACAAUGGGCGAAAGCCUGAUGCAGCAACGCCGCGUGAACGAUGAAGGUCUUCGGAUCGUAAAGUUCUGUUGCAGGGGAAGAUAAUGACGGUACCCUGUGAGGAAGCCCCGGCUAACUACGUGCCAGCAGCCGCGGUAAUACGUAGGGGGCUAGCGUUAUCCGGAUUUACUGGGCGUAAAGGGUGC
rnacentral:rRNA from 1 species